UAAUCAACUUUAUAUUAAUUAUUUAGAAAAUAAAAUUUGAUACCAAUAAUAACUUUCUCAAAGUAAAAUUUGAUAUCAUUAAACUAAAUUUCAGAUCAAUUUUGAUUUUCAUAAAACUUUGAUACUACUUAAUGAUUAGAGAAGAGUAAGCUUUUAAAUCUCAAAAAUAAAUGAUCAAUCAUGGCAAAUCAUAAGAAUAUGUUUUAAAUUUAGCUUGAUACCAAUGGAUUAUCAAAAAUAAAGAUAGGAUCAAGUCAUGAUAGCAC
rnacentral:lncRNA from 1 species